UACGAAGGGGGCUAGCGUUGCUCGGAAUCACUGGGCGUAAAGCGCACGUAGGCGGAUCUUUAAGUCAGGGGUGAAAUCCUGGAGCUCAACUCCAGAACUGCCUUUGAUACUGGGGAUCUCGAGUCCGGAAGAGGUGAGUGGAACUCCGAGUGUAGAGGUGAAAUUCGUAGAUAUCGGGAGGAACACCAGUGGCGAAGGCGGCUCUCUGGGCAGAUACUGACGCUGAGACGCGAAAGCAUGGGGAGCAAACAGG
rnacentral:rRNA from 1 species